GCAGAACAAAACCACAUUCAUCCACCAAUUAUUCAUCAUCUUCAAACUCAAACAGACAAACCAACAAGGAACCAACGACCAUUAGGAACAACAAAUCCUGAUGCCAACUUCAGUGGAAAUUCUCACGAGCAGCAGCAGCAGAGCACCACCACCACCUUCACAAUUCUCUGUACAAAAGGCAAUCACUCCCCACUUUGCAAGAAAAAAACAAGCUUACCUUUACAACAUCAUUGAUUAAA
rnacentral:misc_RNA from 1 species